rnacentral:rRNA from 1 species
GACGAACGCUGGCGGCGUGCUUAACACAUGCAAGUCGAGCGGAAAGGCCCUUCGGGGUACUCGAGCGGCGAACGGGUGAGUAACACGUGAGUAACCUGCCCCAGACUUUGGGAUAACCCUCGGAAACGGGGGCUAAUACCGGAUACGAAACAGAUUCGAAUGGGGUCUGAGUGGAAAGGUUUUCGGUUUGGGAUGGGCUCGCGGCGUAUCAGCUUGUUGGUGGGGUGAUGGCCUACCAAGGCGACGACGGGUAGCCGGCCUGAGAGGGCGACCGGCCACACUGGUACUGAGACACGGCCCAGACUCCUACGGGAGGCAGCAGUGGGGAAUAUUGCACAAUGGGCGGAAGCCUGAUGCAGCGACGCCGCGUGAGGGAUGACGGCCUUCUGGUUGUAAACCUCUUUCAGCAGGGACGAAGCGUAAGUGACGGUACCUGCAGAAGAAGCGCCGGCCAACUACGUG